CCAUGAUUUGAGUUUAUAAACACCUCAGGGAUCCAAAACCAAUUGGCCCUUCCAGCAGUAACAGAAUUUGAAGGACUAAAUGCAUGGAAAUCAGUAAUUCUAAUAAUAACUCUAUUACAAUUCUAAUGUGAGAAUCAGAAGAAACAUAAUUUCAUAUUAAGGAUGCUGAGCUAAAAGAAUUAACAUAACCGUUGGAGAAAAUAGACUAAGUAACAUCAAAAUUUAACACCCAGAAAAAUAGAACAUGAUCUUCAUAUAUCUCCAUCACAAAACACUUCCAAAGCCAUUUUACAUGGAUGCAGUUAAAUUGUGUACCUCACAAAAUGAAAUAAGGAAGGAGGAGAAAUUGAGCAAUAGAAAAUAGCAGGAACAAUGUUCAGCAACCAAAUCAACAUAGAAAUAACCAAGGAAAUCCUACUUUAAUCCAGACUUGAACCAGCAAUAGUAUCAAAUAAACCCAGUAAUCAGAAACACAACCAAAACCUGAAUCAAAUACUUGAAUACCGACAAAAAUUCAACUCAUUUUUACCUCUAGUUGUUCAGGAAUUGUUUCAGAAGUAAGAAACUUUAAAGAUCACCAAAUUUCUCAAUGGAACAAUAUUUGUUUUGCUAUUUUUAAAUGUUUUUGAUUUUUUAGGAUUUCU
rnacentral:lncRNA from 1 species